CUAGAUUUUCGAAGCUCUCUUAGCGCUAAGAUAGUCGUAAGUGGCAUACAUUAACAUUAACUUACGACUAUCUUAGUGCUAUGAGAGCUUCGUAAAUCUAGGCCCAGCAUAAAAGUGGUGAUGUAAG